AGCUGACCAUGGAAGCGAAUGGGUUGGGACCUCAGGGUUUUCCGGAGCUGAAGAAUGACACAUUCCUGCGAGCAGCCUGGGGAGAGGAAACAGACUACACUCCCGUUUGGUGCAUGCGCCAGGCAGGCCGUUACUUACCAGAGUUUAGGGAAACCCGGGCUGCCCAGGACUUUUUCAGCACGUGUCGCUCUCCUGAGGCCUGCUGUGAACUGACUCUGCAGGUGAGGGGUCCACAAAAGAGGGAAAGAUUUAUGCCUUCAGUCUGCCACCUAGCAACCUGUCUCCUGUUUCCUACAGCCACUGCGUCGAUUCCCUCUGGAUGCUGCCAUCAUUUUCUCCGACAUCCUUGUUGUACCCCAGAUGUUUUCUCCCCCUCCAGGCACUGGGCAUGGAGGUGACCAUGGUACCUGGCAAAGGACCCAGCUUCCCAGAGCCAUUAAGAGAAGAGCAGGACCUAGAACGCCUACGGGAUCCAGAAGUGGUAGCCUCUGAGCUAGGCUAUGUGUUCCAAGCCAUCACCCUUACCCGACAACGACUGGCUGGACGUGUGCCGCUGAUUGGCUUUGCUGGUGCCCCAUGGACCCUGAUGACAUACAUGGUUGAGGGUGGUGGCUCAAGCACCAUGGCUCAGGCCAAGCGCUGGCUCUAUCAGAGACCUCAGGCUAGUCACCAGCUGCUUCGCAUCCUCACCGAUGCUCUGGUCCCAUAUCUGGUAGGACAAGUGGCGGCUGGUGCCCAG
rnacentral:sRNA from 1 species